rnacentral:rRNA from 1 species
GCAGGCGGUUUCUUAAGUCUGAUGUGAAAGCCCCCGGCUCAACCGGGGAGGGUCAUUGGAAACUGGGGAACUUGAGUGCAGAAGAGGAGAGUGGAAUUCCACGUGUAGCGGUGAAAUGCGUAGAGAUGUGGAGGAACACCAGUGGCGAAGGCGACUCUCUGGUCUGUAACUGACGCUGAGGAGCGAAAGCGUGGGGAGCGAACAGGAUUAGAUACCCUGGUAGUCCACGCCGUAAACGAUGAGUGCUAAGUGUUAGGGGGUUUCCGCCCCUUAGUGCUGCAGCUAACGCAUUAAGCACUCCGCCUGGGGAGUACGGUCGCAAGACUGAAACUCAAAGGAAUUGACGGGGGCCCGCACAAGCGGUGGAGCAUGUGGUUUAAUUCGAAGCAACGCGAAGAACCUUACCAGGUCUUGACAUCCUCUGACAAUCCUAGAGAUAGGACGUCCCCUUCGGGGGCAGAGUGACAGGUGGUGCAUGGUU